GUGAUUGCUUUGGUAGCACAUAUACUAAAAUUGGAAUGAUAGAGAUGGUUAGCAUGACCCCUGCACAAGAAUGACACACAAAUUAAUGAAGUGCUCCAUAUUUUU
rnacentral:snRNA from 1 species